CCUACGGGUGGCAGCAGUGAGGAAUAUUGGUCAAUGGACGAGAGUCUGAACCAGCCAAGUAGCGUGAAGGAUGACUGCCCUAUGGGUUGUAAACUUCUUUUAUAUGGGAAUAAAAUGUUCCACGUGUGGGAUUUUGUAUGUACCAUAUGAAUAAGGAUCGGCUAACUCCGUGCCAGCAGCCGCGGUAAUACGGAGGAUCCGAGCGUUAUCCGGAUUUAUUGGGUUUAAAGGGAGCGUAGGUGGAUUGUUAAGUCAGUUGUGAAAGUUUGCGGCUCAACCGUAAAAUUGCAGUUGAAACUGGCAGUCUUGAGUACAGUAGAGGUGGGCGGAAUUCGUGGUGUAGCGGUGAAAUGCUUAGAUAUCACGAAGAACUCCGGUUGCGAAGGCAGUUCACUGGACUGCAACUGACACUGAGGCUCGAAAGUGUGGGUAUCAAACAGGAUUAGAUACCCUAGUAGUC
rnacentral:rRNA from 1 species